rnacentral:tRNA from 1 species
UCCCUGGUGGCUUAGAUGGUAAAGAAUCUGCCUGCAAUGCAGGAGACCCAGGUUCGAUCCCUGGGUUGGAAA